rnacentral:rRNA from 1 species
GACGAACGCUGGCGGCGUGCUUAACACAUGCAAGUCGAACGGAAAGGCCCUGCUUUUGUGGGGUGCUCGAGUGGCGAACGGGUGAGUAACACGUGAGUAACCUGCCCUUGACUUUGGGAUAACUUCAGGAAACUGGGGCUAAUACCGGAUAGGAGCUCCUGCUGCAUGGUGGGGGUUGGAAAGUUUCGGCGGUUGGGGAUGGACUCGCGGCUUAUCAGCUUGUUGGUGGGGUAGUGGCUUACCAAGGCUUUGACGGGUAGCCGGCCUGAGAGGGUGACCGGCCACAUUGGGACUGAGAUACGGCCCAGACUCCUAGGGGAGGCAGCAGUGGGGAAUAUUGCACAAUGGGCGGAAGCCUGAUGCAGCAACGCCGCGUGCGGGAUGACGGCCUUCGGGUUGUAAACCGCUUUCGCCUGUGACGAAGCGUGAGUGACGGUAAUGGGUAAAGAAGCACCGGCUAACUACGUG